rnacentral:rRNA from 1 species
AUAUUGGGCAAUGGGCGCAAGCCUGACCCAGCAACGCCGCGUGAAGGAUGAAGGCCUUCGGGUUGUAAACUUCUUUGAUCAGGGACGAAAAAAAUGACGGUACCUGAAGAACAAGCCACGGCUAACUACGUGCCAGCAGCCGCGGUAAUACGUAGGUGGCAAGCGUUAUCCGGAUUUACUGGGUGUAAAGGGCGUGUAGGCGGGUCUGCAAGUUGGAUGUGAAAUUCCCGGGCUUAACUCGGGCGGGUCAUCCAAAACUGCGGAUCUUGAGUACUGGAGAGGAUAGUGGAAUUCCUAGUGUAGCGGUAAAAUGCGUAGAUAUUAGGAGGAACACCAGUGGCGAAGGCGGCUAUCUGGACAGUAACUGACGCUGAGGCGCGAAAGCGUGGGGAGCAAACAG